AGAAAGGAAGCAGUAGAGGCUACCGAAUGAUGGAAAAAUGAAGGAAGUUGGGAACUGACAUUUCUCUUUGUCUUUGUAUUUGUUUUUUUCGCUAUUUUUCCCUUUGG
rnacentral:ribozyme from 1 species